rnacentral:rRNA from 1 species
GACGUAGGGAGCGAGCGUUGUCCGGAAUUACUGGGCGUAAAGGGCGCGUAGGCGGCCUUCUAAGUCGAACGUGAAAUCCCCGGGCUCAACCCGGGAACUGCGUCCGAUACUGGAAGGCUUGAAUCCGGGAGAGGGAUGCGGAAUUCCAGGUGUAGCGGUGAAAUGCGUAGAUAUCUGGAGGAACACCGGUGGCGAAGGCGGCAUCCUGGACCGGCAUUGACGCUGAGGAGCGAAAGCCAGGGGAGCAAACGGG